GCCUCGGUAGCUCAGCAGGUAGAGCAACAGGCUGUUAACCUGUGGGUCGUAGGUUCGAGCCCUACCCGAGGCG
rnacentral:tRNA from 1 species